GCUUUAUUGUGUCACUAGCUUUAUCUUCAUAUUUAUUAUCGGGUAUUGUACAUUCGACGAUAAAGUCGAUCAAAACUUGCACCUUCAUUGACAAACAUGGACGAUAUUGUAUAUCAAAUUUAUCAAACUUUAUUGUCCACUUUGUCAUUCGACCCGACGUAUCAGGUCGGUGCAAGAUUACCUUCAACGGUUGGUCUGUCAAGAUAAUGAUGGGGUGUGCUUGAAAGUACGGGC
rnacentral:lncRNA from 1 species